rnacentral:rRNA from 1 species
GACGAACGCUGGCGGCGUGCUUAACACAUGCAAGUGCAGUGGUAAGGCCCUUCGGGGUACACGAGCGGCGAACGGGUGAGUAACACGUGGGUGAUCUGCCUCGUACUCUGGGAUAAGCCUGGGAAACUGGGUCUAAUACCGGAUAUGACCACGAGUCGCAUGGUUUGUGGUGGAAAGAUUUAUCGGUGCGAGAUGGGCCCGCGGCCUAUCAGCUUGUUGGUGGGGUAAUGGCCUACCAAGGCGACGACGGGUAGCCGGCCUGAGAGGGCGACCGGCCACACUGGGACUGAGACACGGCCCAGACUCCUACGGGAGGCAGCAGUGGGGAAUAUUGCACAAUGGGCGGAAGCCUGAUGCAGCGACGCCGCGUGCGGGAUGACGGCCUUCGGGUUGUAAACCGCUUUCGACAGGGACGAAGCGUGAGUGACGGUACCUGUAGAAGAAGCACCGGCCAACUACGUG